UACGGAGGUUGCAAGCGUUGUUCGGAAUGACUGGGCGUAAAGGGAGCGCAGGCGGCUUGUUAAGUCUGGAGUGAAAGCCCGGGGCUCAACCCCGGCGGGUCUUCGGAUACUGGCAAGCUAGAGUACGGAAGAGGAAAGCGGAAUUCCAGGUGUAGCGGUGAAAUGCGUAGAUAUCUGGAGGAACACCAAUGGCGAAGGCAGCCCCCUGGGUCGAUACUGACGCUCAUGCACGAAAGCGUGGGUAGCAAACAGGAUUAGAUACCCUAGUAGU
rnacentral:rRNA from 1 species